CUUCAAGCCAACUUGUAGAGUUAUUUUUGUUUUCUUAGCCAAUCUUCCCUCUCCCUCCCUUCACGAUCUGUCUUGCUUCACUCUGCUCCCUCUACAGCGCUGUCCCCGUGGCCUAGCUUUAGGUUUGGAGAAUGGAGGACAAGGAUCUCGGUCACUUUCUAUGGCUUACCUCUGAUAACGACUUGGAUACCUAUUCCAAGUCCGUUGUGAUGGGAGGACUCGUCGUUGUUUCUGUCAUCACCAGCAUCCACUUGCUUGGCUACACCAGACAUGGAUGCAAUAUUUCGUGUUACUAGUCUCGAAAUGGUGCUAUCUGUACUGAGCUUUUCACUUCUUUGCAUGUUGUUCUCUUUUUCAUGUUGUUAUCUCUUCCCUUGCAAGUCUUCUUGACCUUGUAAGACCUUUUCUUGACCUUGUAAGGCCUCAUUCCUCGAUCUCCACCCUCGUCCCCGACGGUCUUUGGUUCCCUCUCUUCUCGCUUCCCACUUGCCCUCCUCUCCCGUCUAUCCCUCUUGAGCCGUUUACGUGUGACUGUGCUCGUGGUUGCAAUGUUGUUUCGCCUGCUUCUUUCGUCUCACAUGUUGAUGAUGAUGGAUGAUUGACCGCUCGAGUCUGUCACAACGUAUGAAAAGUCUUGGAACAUCAUCUGCACUCUUUCAUGUGUGGUAGCUUUCACUGUUCCAACUGGCAUAUGUAUGUACGUAUAUAUGUAUCACUUUGGGUUUAA